AACGCACCUUGCGCCCUUUGGUAUUCCGAAGGGCAUGCCUGUUUGAGUGUCAUUAAAUUAUCAACCUUGUUCGCUUUUCGGAGCUUGAGCUAGGCUUGGAUGUGAGGGUUUUUGCUGGCUUCCUUCAGUGGAUGGUCUGCUCCCUUUAAAUGCAUUAGUGGGAUCUCUUUUGUGGACCGUCACUUGGUGUGAUAAUUAUCUAUGCCAUUGACUUGCUUAACGAGAAUCUGCUUAUAACCGUCUCGCAAGGGACAACAACUUUAUUGACAAUUUGACCUCAAAUCAGGUAGGACUACCCGCUGAACUUAA
rnacentral:misc_RNA from 1 species